UUGCACAUACAUUUUAAACUUUAAAAAAAAAAAAAAAUGUAGGGUUCGUAGAAUGGGAGUUAUUGGACCAAAUUGUAACUCACAUAAUUUUUUUAAUGCAAGCACCGAAUUAUUCCUCAAUUCGAGUUGCUUGUGUCUCCAGUCUUCAACUGCAUUGGAUUAUGCCAGAGGUAACUUUACUCUUGACAGCGUAUGGUUUUUGGCUAUGUAUAUCAGCUUUACCCGCUUUGUUUUUCGCUUCUUUCUUGUUAACUCGGUGUACCAGAAUAGUGAAUGUUACGAGGUGAAGAGGUCGUAAGUGAUGAAGCAUUUGCACCAAACCUGCUUGGAGAACAUGUGCAUGGGAUGACUUGCUUGUUGCCCAAAACCGGAUAUAACAAUUAUUCAGGCUCACUGUAUUUCUCGAUCGUCAUCAUCAUUAUCUGAUUAAGAGUUUGGGACCACUGCAACUAGAAGUUAUUCAAGGGGGCUGUUGUCGGAAAAGCUACACACACCACAUCUGGCCUCGAGAUCACUAAGACAGAUUUGUAAGAUUAUACUAGGACAUGGCAUGGGGCUGGUCCGUCGGCAAAAAACAAUUCGCUGAAUUUUACUCACAGUUCUAGGAGAUGCAACUGAAGUGACUCAGGCAGUGGCUGAAGCGGCACCCAU